rnacentral:rRNA from 1 species
GACGAACGCUGGCGGCGUGCUUAACACAUGCAAGUCGAACGGAAAGGCCCUGCUUUUGUGGGGUGCUCGAGUGGCGAACGGGUGAGUAACACGUGAGUAACCUGCCCUUGACUUUGGGAUAACUUCAGGAAACUGGGGCUAAUACCGGAUAGGAGCUCCUGCUGCAUGGUGGGGGUUGGAAAGUUUCGGCGGUUGGGGAUGGAUUCGCGGCUUAUCAGCUUGUUGGUGGGGUAGUGGCUUACCAAGGCUUUGACGGGUAGCCGGCCUGAGAGGGUGACCGGCCACAUUGGGACUGAGAUACGGCCCAGACUCCUACGGGAGGCAGCAGUGGAGAAUAUUGCACAAUGGGCGGAAGCCUGAUGCAGCAACGCCGCGUGCGGGAUGACGGCCUUCGGGUUGUAAACCGCUUUCGCCUGUGACGAAGCGUGAGUGACGGUAAUGGGUAAAGAAGCACCGGCUAACUACGUG